UACGAAGGGUGCAAACGUUGCUCGGAAUUACUGGGCGUAAAGCGUGCGUAGGUGGUGAGUUAAGUCUGUCGUGAAAGCCCCGGGCUCAACCUGGGAAUGGCGAUGGAUACUGGCUCGCUAGAGUGCGGUAGAGGAGAGUGGAAUUCCCGGUGUAGCAGUGAAAUGCGUAGAGAUCGGGAGGAACAUCAGUGGCGAAGGCGGUCUGCUGGGCCGUUGCUGACGCUGAGGCGCGACAGCGUGGGGAGCAAACAGG
rnacentral:rRNA from 1 species